rnacentral:rRNA from 1 species
UACGUAGGGGGCAAGCGUUGUCCGGAAUUAUUGGGCGUAAAGAGCGUGUAGGCGGUCCGGUAAGUCAGCUGUGAAAGUCAAGGGCUCAACCCUUGAAUGCCGGUUGAUACUGUCGGGCUAGAGUCCGGAAGAGGCGAGUGGAAUUCCCGGUGUAGCGGUGAAAUGCGCAGAUAUCGGGAGGAACACCAAUGGCGAAGGCAGCUCGCUGGGACGGUACUGACGCUGAGACGCGAGGGCAUGGGGAGCGAACGGG